rnacentral:other from 1 species
AGCGCCCUGCCGUGUGCGUGGUGUUUGCUGUGGUCCUGGCUCAACACCUCAUUUCGGGAGGCCGAUCUCCUGUUUUGGGAUUGCGGCUCUUGAAGAGCUACAUAACCAAGCAGGGUAGGCCUCAACUUUUGGGAUGGGGCACAAGGACUCACACACCACGGCACGGCGGGGCUUUU